rnacentral:rRNA from 1 species
UUUUCUUUUACAAGUUCUCCGUUGGUGAACCAGCGGAGGGAUCAUUACCGAGUUAUCCAACUCCCAACCCCUGUGAAUCAUACCUUUAAUUGUUGCUUCGGCGGGACUUCGCGCCCGCCGGGGACCCAAACCUUCUGAAUUUUUUAAUAAGUAUCUUCUGAGUGGUUAAAAAAAAUGAAUCAAAACUUUCAACAACGGAUCUCUUGGUUCUGGCAUCGAUGAAGAACGCAGCGAAAUGCGAUAAGUAAUGUGAAUUGCAGAAUUCAGUGAAUCAUCGAAUCUUUGAACGCACAUUGCGCCCGUCAGUAUUCUGGCGGGCAUGCCUGUUCGAGCGUCAUUACGCCCCUCAAGUCCCCUGUGGACUUGGUGUUGGGGAUCGGCGAGGCUGGUUUUCCAGCACAGCCGUCCCUUAAAUUAAUUGGCGGUCUCGCCGUGGCCCUCCUCUGCGCAGUAGUAAAGCACUCGCAACAGGAGCCCGGCGCGGUCCACUGCCGUAAAACCCCCCAACUUUUUAUAGUUGACCUCGAAUCAGGUAGGACUACCCGCUGAACUUAAGCAUAUGA